rnacentral:tRNA from 1 species
AGUCCUGGGGUGUUACAUGCUAGAUUGCAAAUCUGGAGAAGCAGGCUAACGCCUGCCGGGACUU